GCGACUACUUUGUGUACCCGGGUGGCGCGCUUGGGUCCUCCGGCUCAGCUCGCCGUCCGGGCUGGUCCGAGCUAGCUCUUCGGCCCACUACUCUGCACCGCGGGCGCCAGGAAUUUCCCGAGUCCGAGCGGGUUGCUGCUUUUGCUAAGAGAACACCCAUGACUUUGAUGGUAUUUUCAUUCAAAAUAAAGUACUCGAUUGCCUUUAUUGAUUAACUGAACCAAUUCAGCAUGGCAGAUGAGUGGAGUAGGUCUGUGCCCAGUAUCAGAACCUGCGAAUCUCAGGCUGCCGAAGUGGAGCUGCCGAAGUGGAGUGCGUGGAACUUUAACCACUCAGCCAUGGGGCCAGUCCUGAUAAUUUUGUGUUUAAAGCUGCAUAUGUAUGUACCAGUGAAGUAGAAAAGCUAUUGUGGAUAAUGCUGCUGUGAACAUGGGUGGACAAAUAUCUCUUCAAGAUUCUGCUUUCACUUCUUUUGGGUGUAUCCUCAGAAAUGGAAUUGCUGGAUCAUAUGGUAAUUCUACUUUUAAUUUUUUGAGGAACCCCCAAUGUUGUUUUCCACAGCCGCUGUACCAUUUUACACUUCUACAAGCAGCAUACAGGGUUCCAGUUUCUUCACAUCCUUGCCAACACUUAUUUUCUAUUUUUUGAUAGUAGCCAUCUUAAUGGGUGUGAGGUGGUAUCUCAUUGUAGUUUUGAUUUGCAUUUCCCUAAUGAUUGUAGAUGUUGAGCAUCUGUUCAUGUGCUUGGUAGCCAUUUGUAUAUUGUUUUUGGAGAAAUGUCUACUCAGGUCCUUUGUCCAAUUUUGAAUCAGGCUGUUCGUUUUUUUAUUGUUGAGUUUUAGGAGUUCUCUACAUAUUCUGGG
rnacentral:lncRNA from 1 species